UUCCUCGUGUUCUUCCAACUU
rnacentral:piRNA from 1 species